CAGAGAGUGAACAGCAUACUGAAACACAUCAUCAUCUUCUGAAUCUUUCUUUCUUACUGAAGAGUUUUCCUUUUUGAUCAGUUUGAGUCAACUCUUCCUCUCAGGAAGAAGGUUGUGUGAAUGCGGGAGAUGCCCUAUUGCAUAACAAGAUGUAUCCAGGAAGAGAUGAGCAGUUGUUCCUCCUUCAUAUCAUCUAAAUCCAUGACCUUUCCUGCCCUCGGUUCCUCCACUAAUCAUCCCACAGAAGGUGUUGUUCAAGUGUUGUGCAAUUCCAACAUGCUCUUCAGCUGCAUACUGUACUGCAUGCCCUUAUGCAGUGAUCAGCUUCAGUCUCCCAAGUGUUAUGGCAAUGGAUAUUUUUGAUGGCUGAUAGAAUGGGAAGACUGAUAUAUACCUCAAGGAGAUUUGAUGUUGGGUGAGAACAGUGAAUAAUUUGAAUUCUACAAUUUUAAUUGCUGUAUAAUACUGUAUAUAAUCUCUAGUAUGAUUUCUUUAUGUAUGAUCAAUUCUAUUAUACUAAGAGUCACUCAGAUUAAUGAGGAAUAAAUUUUUACUAAAUUAGGCA
ensembl:lncRNA